rnacentral:lncRNA from 1 species
AUUUAAGAAAGCAAAUUCCCCAUCAUUGUGUGGGGUGGAAGGAAGAGAACUAUCCAGUGAGCUACGUGACUGCCUAGAGGCGUGGGCAGAGCCCCCCCAGUCUGCCACGCAGACAGAGGCUCCCCAUUGGCUGAAAGUAAGCCUGGGCUUCUAGAACAGACAACUGAGUUCCUUCCAAUUGCCCAGCUGGGCCUGUUUCUCCUUCAGACUGGAUGUUCUGAUGUGGAAAAUUCCAUCCUCUUUGGGAGCUAAGAGGACGCUAGAAAUUCUGUGUCUGGAGAGAAUCCUGGACGAGAGGGGGCUCAGUGAUGGAGGAGGAGAGAAGACCCGAUGGCAGGAGCUCCCGGAGAGAAGAUCCCUCCCCGAAGCAGAGGACCACUGGCAUCCCACGGCCAAGUCUUGACUCGCUCUGGAACAAGCUUUAAGCGAGGUACAGAAGCUCCAUCCAAGUCCAGCAGCAGGACGAAAGUCACGGUCCUGGACGUGGCAUCUCCCGUGUCUGACCCAGCUCGAAGAGCUCCACCGCAUCUGCUUCUCCUGCCUUUGUGGCCCCUGGAACAAGUGGUUCUCUGCCCAUUCUGUCCCCCUAAACCACCAAAGGGUUCGAGGUCUUCACCUGGCUCAGACCAUCUUCCAAGAUGGUUUUCCUGCUAUCACUUCUUGGAGCCACAAAUGACAAUUGGGCGAAAGAUGGCUGGGCAGCCUAGAAAAGGGCUCACACCAGAGGUGUGUCCUCCCCAGACACCCCCCCUGCACCCUGCUUAUCUGGGUACAUACAUGCUUUUUAAUAUCACACUUUGUUAUAGUGAACUUUGGUUUCCAUGAAUAAAAUUCUAGGAUCGGGCUAAUUGACUUCUAAAGUCUUAUCUAACUUUAAAUUUCAAGUUCUUCAGGGAAUCAUAGCAGAGUUGGAAAUGGAAACUGAGUCGCCUGAUAGAGUAUGUUUAACAUGUUAUAUCACAUGUAACAUUCACACACAUAUAUGUAUUUCUGAAAAAAAUGAGUCAUUGAGACAAUGAUUUCCCUUCCUAAGACCCUGGCAAAGAUUCCUCAAUCUUUAUUAGAAAAGAAAGUACUGAGUUUAAUGGAUUCAAACACCAUUUAUCACAUUUCCAUGUAAAGGGAAUAACAUCUUCCCCUGAUUCUGCAUGUUUUAUGUCCGUACAUGUACUGUAAAAUAAAAGAUCCUUGAGGGCAGGCUUUACUGU